AAGGUCCCGUCUGGAUUCUCGUCCAAUAUAAAGGGAAUAAUAAACAUGGCGGAGAAAAAGUUCCAAAAUCUGAAGUCUCACGACUGCCACGUGAUUAUGACGCAAUUGCUUCCGAUUGCUUUGAGGGGGCUCCUGCCAGAAAAUGUUCGAGUAGCCAUUGUGAAGCUAUGUGCAUUCCUCAAUGCAAUCUCUCAGAAGGUAAUCAAUCCAGAAGAUCUACCACGGUUACAGAACGAUGUGAUCCAAUGUCUUGUCAGUUUCGAGUUGGUGUUCCCGCCAUCCUUCUUCAAUAUUAUGACGCACCUCUUGGUUCACCUAGUCGAAGAGAUUUUCAUUCUCGGUCCUGUAUUUCUACACAAUAUGUUCCCCUUCGAGAGGUUCAUGGGAGUAUUAAAGAAAUAUGUUCGUAACCGUGCUAGGCCAGAAGGAAGCAUCGCCAAGGGCUAUGGAAAUGAGGAGGUAAUUGAGUUUUGUGUUGACUUUGUUCCUGACCUUAAGCCGAUUGGUCUUCCUCGAUCGCGGCACAAGGGGAGACUAAGUGGAAAAGGCACGAUCGGAAGGAAAUCAACGACAUGUAUGGACGGCCAUUCUCUGACUGAAGCAGACCACACUGUACUGACCAAUUCCAGCUUGGUGGCUCCGUACUUUGAGAAACACAAGAAUAUUUUACGCUCGGACAACCCGGGGAAGCCUGAAUCCUGGAUUAGGAAGGCCCACAUGGAGACUUUCGGCAGUUGGUUGAGAAAACAUUUAAUGAAUGACAAUGAUGUUGUAGAUCAGCUGUACAUGUUGGCCAAGACACCAUCUUCGACUAUAACGACUUUCCAAGGGUACGAGAUAAAUGGGAAUACAUUUUACACGAUCGCCCAAGAUAAAAAGAGCACCAACCAAAACAGUGGUGUCCGCUUUGAUGCAGCAACCGAGAAUGGGCAAAAGGUCACAUAUUAUGGUUACAUAGAG
rnacentral:rRNA from 1 species